ensembl:snoRNA
AUUCUUUUGUAAUGUGUAAAGUGUAACGAUUGGGUUUUUAUGCUCAUGUGUGAGAUGUGCCUCCCUCAAACCAUGUUACAGUAUAAGAACAUUACCCAUCUGAUA